CCUACGGGAGGCUGCAGUGGGGAAUCUUCCGCAAUGGGCGCAAGCCUGACGGAGCAACGACGCGUGAAUGAAGAAGGUCUUCGGAUCGUAAAGUUCUGUUCUUAGGGAAGAAGUCUUAGGUUGUGAAUAAUGACUUAAGGUGACGGUACCUAUGGAGAAAGCUCCGGCUAACUACGUGCCAGCAGCCGCGGUAAUACGGAGGGUGCGAGCGUUAAUCGGAAUUACUGGGCGUAAAGCGCUCGUAGGCGGUAUGUCAAGUCAAGGGUGAAAUCCCCGCGCUCAACGUGGGAACUGCCUUUGAAACUGGCAAACUGGAGUGUGUGAGAGGAUAGUGGAAUUCCAGGUGUAGGAGUGAAAUCCGUAGAUAUCUGGAGGAACAUCAGUGGCGAAGGCGACUAUCUGGCACAUAACUGACGCUGAGGAGCGAAAGCGUGGGUAGCAAACAGGAUUAGAUACCCCAGUAGUC
rnacentral:rRNA from 1 species